rnacentral:rRNA from 1 species
UUGUCCUACGGGGCGCAGCAGUGGGGGAUAUUGCACAAUGGGGGGAACCCUGAUGCAGCGACGCCGCGUGGGUGAAGGAGUAUUUCGGUAUGUAAAGCCCUAUCGGCAGGGAAGAAUUUAGACGGUACCUGACUAAGAAGCCCCGGCUAACUACGUGCCAGCAGCCGCGGUAAUACGUAGGGGGCAAGCGUUAUCCGGAUUCACUGGGUGUAAAGGGAGCGUAGACGGCCAGGCAAGCCUGGAGUGAAAGCCCGGGGCCCAACCCCGGGACUGCUCUGGGGACUGUCCGGCUGGAGUGCGGGAGG